GAUCCUGGCUCAGGAUGAACGCUAGCUACAGGCUUAACACGUGCAAGUCGAGGGGCAGCGGGGUUGAAGCUUGCUUCAAUUGCCGGCGACCGGCGCACGGGUGAGUAACGCGUAUCCAACCUUCCGCUUACUCGGGGAUAGCCUUUCGAAAGAAAGAUUAAUACCCGAUGGUAUCUUAAGCACGCAUGAGAUUAAGAUUAAAGAUUUAUCGGUAAGCGAUGGGGAUGCGUUCCAUUAGGCAGUUGGCGGGG
rnacentral:rRNA from 1 species